CAGUUAAAUGUUGUUUUCCAUUCGCCUGAAAUCAUCACUUUUCAUGAAAAUUGACCGAGAGUUAUUUCCCUUUGCUGACUCUUUUGCACUGAAGACAAAAAAUGGUUGACUCUCCUGUCAAAAGAAGUUUUUAACAACAUGUGGAGUGUGAGUGGCAAAACAGACACCAGGAAAAUAAACAAUGAGAAAAUAAUGUUUAAGUUGUGAGUGACAAAGUAAGUCAUCAAUCAAUUAAUGAAAAUGAAAGAGACAGGUCUUGUGAAAUAUUGGAACAAAAUUUAUGAAGUCUGACUAGAGGGAUUCCAUCUAUUCUAAAAACCCAUACGUAUAGAUUAUGAUGCAAAUGGGGAAGAAAACAUUAAAAAGCAGUGGAUACGGCCACCCGGAAAUCAGUAGGAAUGAAUCUACCCUAGGCACAGAUGUACCAAUACAGUUCGAACUAUGAAAAUAAAGAUGAAAAGAUACAUUGAGAAUUCAUUUUCAGUAAAAAGCAGAACUGUGACACAGGAGCAUCACCUGUGAAAGGUUACAUAUGUUACAAAUGACACCAAUGAAGGAUAUAUGAGCAACUGUUUUAUACCAGAAACAGGAGGCAGUUACAAAAUUAAUAAACGAAGACAGAAAACUUGCAAGUGAUCCUGAGAACUGAACACCAGACAGUAUCGUUACCAAACAGUAUUCUUUUGGAGGGAAUUCUGUUUAAAGAAAUUGGAGAUCAGAAGUUUUGAAGUUUGUGAUGGUAAAUUCACUAAAUUGGAUAGGUUGCUUUUAUCUUCCAUUGGUUAUACUUAAAAUAUUUUUGAGGUAUUUUUUUUCAAGGUGUAAAUACUAACAAUUGGUUUAGAAUUAAAUACAUGAUAGUGAAAAAUAUAUCAAAUUUGUUUUCACAUAAAAAAAUGUUGUAGAUAAAUAAUGAAUUUAAAUUAAGGUAUAGAUGUAUGUUUUUUUUAUUCCAGGGAAAAAGUCGAAGAUGGUUAUUUCAAGUGUCACUUUUUAAACCCACUUUCUUCACUGGACAGCCAUAACACCACAUACAGCAAAACUCGUUUAGUACAAACACAGAUAUUGUGAAUUUACGGAUAAAGCGAAGU